rnacentral:rRNA from 1 species
GUGCCAGCCGCGCGGUAAUACCGGCAGCCCGAGUGAUGGCCGCUAUUAUUGGGCCUAAAGCGUCCGUAGCCGGCCGGGCAAGUCCGUCGGGAAAUCCACCCGCUUAACGGGUGGGCGUCCGGUAGAAACUGGCCGGCUUGGAACCGGAAGGCUCAGAGAGUACGUCCGGGGUAGGAGUGAAAUCCCGUAAUCCCGGACGGACUACCGAUGGCGAAAGCACUCUGAGAAGACGGCUUCGACAGUGAGGGACGAAAGCUCGGGUCUCAAACCGGAUUAGAUACCCUGGUAGUCC